AUAGUCGCUGCUGCUGCUGCUGCUGCUGCUAUCUCCAUUUGCUUUAACCGGAAUGCAAAGACGUGCAUGGGAUUGUGAUGUUACUAUUAUUCGCCUCGAUAACGUUUACGAUACGCAUAUAGUCUAGCAUAUAUCGUAUAGGCUGGGAGGGGUCGGACCAGAGCGUGCCGGCAGCUCGUCGUUAAUAUAAUGGCGAAAAUGGCAAAACGGGUCGACAUCACGUAGAGGUCUGAUGGGAAAUGGUGAAAACGCAGUGAUGAUGGAAAUUCAGACAGGACGUGAGUUAACACUUUUGAAAUAUUUGAAAAUGAAGCUAAAACCUGAUGAACUCAUAACCGUCAUUCUGUUCCGUCGCCCAAGCCUUUUGGAGUUCUCCCUAAUUGACCCACGUCAGUAGCCUAUAGGAUUUGAAAUUAUAGGUCUCGAGGAAAGGAGAGACGAUUAUCAGUCAAAUAGAAAGAAUACAAACAAAUAUUAACGACCGGGACUUUGGCGUUAAUCGAGACGAGAAAGAAAAUAUAUAUACUAUACUAAAUAUCUUAGUAUAAAUAUAAGAAAGUAAGAUUUUAAAAGCGGAAGACAUUCCAGGACAUCGGCUUUAUUGUACGUGCUGUCUUGGUCGUUUACAGCGAAAUGACGUAGGAUGAAAAUGAAUAAUGUAUGGGAAAGCAUAUGUAAGCGUAGAUAAGAAUCUUAUCAAAAGAAACGAUCAAAGAGAUGUUCUAUGAGGUCACGCUCGAGUGGUGCCGUCUAAUUUAUUGAGUGCAACGAAACGGUGAUAUGGCGAAGGCUACUGUCAGGAUU